GACGAACGCUGGCGGCGUGCUUAACACAUGCCAGUCGAACGGAAAGGCCCUGCUUUUGUGGGGUGCUCGAGUGGCGAACGGGUGGGUAACACGUGAGUAACCUGCCCUUGACUUUGGGAUAACUUCAGGAAACUGGGGCUAAUACCGGAUAGGAGCUCCUGCUGCAUGGUGGGGGUUGGAAAGUUUCGGCGGUUGGGGAUGGACUCGCGGCUUAUCAGCUUGUUGGUGGGGUAGUGGCUUACCAAGGCUUUGACGGGUAGCCGGCCUGAGAGGGUGACCGGCCACAUUGGGACUGAGAUACGGCCCAGACUCCUACGGGAGGCAGCAGUGGGGAAUAUUGCACAAUGGGCGGAAGCCUGAUGCAGCAACGCCGCGUGCGGGAUGACGGCCUUCGGGUUGUAAACCGCUUUCGCCUGUGACGAAGCGUGAGUGACGGUAAUGGGUAAGAAGCACCGGCUAACUACGUG
rnacentral:rRNA from 1 species